CAGGAUCUCAAUCACCAGAAGCCCAAGAAGGUCUACAACAUGUUGGGAGCAUCUCUCAUUGUCCUUCUGGGGAUCUGGUGCGCAGGAUGCAGUUCCAAUCCUACAGUGAUUCAGGAAUCCUCCAUGUCACCUUCCCAAGGACAGACGGUCAAACUCUCUUGUUCCCUGAGCAGUGGACAAGUAACAUCUUAUCACCAAUCAUGGUAUCAACAGAAAGAAGGAGGUCCUCCCACAUUCCUUUAUUUUUACUACAGCAGUGCAACUGCUGGCUCUGGUGAUCUCAGCCGCUUCUCUGCCUCAAAGGAAAGCAGCCAAAAUAAAUGGUAUUUGACCAUCAGGGAUGUCCAGCCAGGAGACGAGGCUGAUUAUUACUGUGCUGUGUGGUAUGGUGCUAGUACUGCGUUCCACAGUGAUACAAGCCUAUGA